UAUAUAAAACUUAACAUAAUAACUUACAGAUAAAUUAUACUGUUUAGUGCAGACAAUUACAAGUAAAUACAUAAAAUACUGCCAUGUUCAUACAUUUCAUUGUUUUGUAUAUUUUGACAUGUUCCCAAUUAUUAUGCAAACUCGACGGUAUAACAAACGCCACAUAUACCUUACUUUGUUAUCACGAUUUUGUUAUUAAAAAAAACUAUGUUUGGGGAAGUAAGCUGACAUUUCAGCAGCCAAUCAGUCCUUUCCAGUACCAAAAGUUACUCGCUCUUGGUUUUCGACCCAGUACCCUUUUGCUGGACCCGGACUGCGUGUAUGACGCCACCAGCCACCAUGCGCCGCGAUCCGGAGAGAGAGCCCACAGAAACCGGACGCACAUAGCGGGACCGCGGCACGGUGCGCUGUUAAUCAGAGAUUGACGCGGCAACGCCAGAUGAUCAAGCUUGCCCGGACGCGAAUGUAAUGCGCAGUGACAUCAUCGACCGGAUCGCCCCCAGUCUGCACAUGCGCAGUGACAACAUCGACCGGAUCGCUCCAAGUCUGCACAUGCGCAGUGACAACAUCGACCGGAUCGCAACAAGUCUACGCACGCGCAGUGACAACAUCGACCGGAUUGCCCCAAGUCUGCACAUGCGCAGUGACAACAUCGACCGGAUCGCCCCAAGUCUGCAAUGCGCAGUGACAACAUCGACCGGAUCGCUUCAAGUCUGCACACGCGCAGUGAUAACAUCGACCGGAUCGCCCAAAGUCUGCACAUGCGCAGUGACAACAUUGACCGGAUCGCCCCUAGUCUGCACAUGCGCAGUGAUACAAACACCACCCAGUCGGCCGAACGCCGCAGUUUUCAGUUUCCGGAACAACGAAAACGUGUCCCACUCGGAGGUGCAGUACCUAAUACAGACUUAACUCGACGUUCCCGUACGAAGUAUCCAGUCGAUCCCCUCGAUAUCCGGUCGGCGCGACCCGGGGUCAACUCCCGCUGGGUCGUCGAAAAUUUGUACUACAGCGGAUAUGGCAAAAGCUAUACAGUCGGGGCUUCAAGUGGGCACGGACCGGCUGGAGUUCUACCCGCAUGAUGACGUCACUAGACGCGAAACCGCGGCCUAUAGAAACUACAUGGAGGUUGUUAACGCUCAUGCAGUGAUAGCGGCGUCUAAUGAUAACGCAGUGCGCGGGAAAACGGAGUUUCCAGCGGUCGACGUCACUCACGACCUUGAAGAUACUAUGAAGAUAUGAGCUAAUUGGACUUUUUGAAACUAUGUCAUCAUGCUAAUUUGUGUCGUUUGGUAUAUGUUCCAUAGCAUGUACCAAUAAUGACUCGAUUUUUCAGGUUAAGAUUCAAGAGGGAUAAUUUCAUUACCGCCAUUUUAAUUCAACCAUCCACAUACAUUAAGGCACAUAUACGCUUCCUUUUUUUAGCUGUGAUUAUUUGAUAAAGUAAAACUCUUUGGUUGCUCACUUGUAAAGAUUC